UCCCCCACCUGACGCCCCUCUCUUUCUUUUCCUCCCUGUCAGCACGCACCUUCUCCCCUUUUCUCUCUCUUCUGCCCCACUCGGCCACACCAUAUAUCCCUCUCUUCUUCUAGUUUCUCUCCAACACCUAAUGCCCAGCCGAGAGAUGAACCAAAAGAGAUGGAGUGAGAGAGAUGAGUUGCGAGAGAGAACCAUGAAUGAGGGCUUGUGACAGUGAGAGCCAUGAUGGUAGAAGUCGGCUGUCCAUGGGGGUUUCAGUAUGGGAGAACACAAAAUGGAUCGUAUCAUCAUUGGAGACUUCGAUGGGUCCUUCAAUGUAGAGUUGGAGUCGUGAGUCCAAUGCAGUCAGAUGAUGUUCCUCUGGCUGCAGGUAUUCUGGUCGUAGUAAUGGUGUUAUAGAGGUGCGCAUGGGAUAUUAUGACCGAAGCUCGCCGCGACGGUCGUAAUUGCAGGAGCAUGGAUGUCUUCAGUUUUAUAGGUUUUGUUAUGACUUGUGACGCAUGUGUCACUCGUUAUUGUAUAAGCCAUCUUUUUAUGUAUUGAUAUUGACGAAAGAUUUAAACACAUAGAUGAUAAAUGGCUCUUGUUAUUAAUUUAUAAUUGUUGAGUAAGAUGUGAUUUCUGCUAUUAGGUCUAUGUUUUCCGCUGCAUAGUAAUUAGAUGUUGUACUCUGAUUUACCGGGUACAUAUUAUGGGGUAUGUACCACACGUUGGCUUUGCGACAUAUCGUCGUGCCACUGUGAGGAUCCAUUUGUAUUUUAAGAGAUUAAUGA